GGAGGAGGCAGGAGAUUAGGGGUGCGGCCGGGCCCAGAUAUGGGGCUGCCACCCAGGAGGCUGGCCUCACCUUGAUGAGGACGUUGUCGUAGCUGGUGGGGUUCAUGACGUCAUAGCAGAUGAGCACGAGUUUCAAACUUACAGUAAAAUUGCAACAAGAGUGAAGAGCUCUCUGACUGUGAUUCACCACCUGUUUGCAUUGGCCCCUCUGGCUUUAUCUGGAGACAGACGCUUCUGUUUCUCCCUAUCAGGGCACGGUAACUGUAGACAUCUGCCUCUUCACUCCUUAGCUCAGCGCCUAUCUGCUGAGAACAAGGGCAUUCUCUCCCCUGCCCCAAGCCCCGGAAACCGCAUGGACUCUGCAUUCUAAUCCGAUCCACAGGCCAUAGUCAGAUUUUGACCAUUUCACCAAUAUGGUCCUUUAUUUUUUUCCCCAUUGAAGAGCCAGCCCAGCCCAGGGUUCUACACUGCACUUAGUCAUCAUGCCCCGGUAUUUUUUUUAAAAUCCCCACAGUGAGAACUAAGUUUUUCAGGCUCAUUGGUGACCAGCCCCCCGCCCCUCGACUUCCUUCCACUGAACAAGGAACGUGGAGGCCCAGGAAUCCCCCUGCCCCGUCCCCAGCUGCUGCAGGUGCUGGGUGGCGCCAGCCUGCCCUCCGCUCCGUCUCUGCCAGACACCUCUCAGGACAAGUGGCCUCUCCACGGAGCACCACCAGGCCAUGUCUGCUCCUACCCCCUUGCUGGUGACAGGGCAUGGCCACCCUCUCCCCACUAGCUCCCCCUCAACCCAGGGACCUCCAAAAGUCCUCAGCCAGCUCCCCCAUGGAACAAUGCUUAAGGGUGAGGUCACUAGAGGCAGAUGAGACACAUGUUCAAAUCCCAGCUCUGCCCUCACCGGCUGUGUGACCUUGACUUAGACAGGACAGUAGUGGGAGUCUUGGCUUCCCCACCUGGAAGAUGAAAAUCAUAAAAUCUACCUUACGGGGCUGUCACCAGCCAAGGCACACCAUUGCACUCCAGCCUGGGUGACAAGAGCGAAACUCUGUAUCAAAAAAAAUAAAAAAUAAUAAAAAUAAAAAAUGAAUUAACAUGAA